rnacentral:lncRNA from 1 species
UCGUAUUCGUGAAUAGUGCCGUAUACGUGAAUAGUAACUCCGACACUAAAAGAUAGAAAUUUCACAAAAAAAUCAUCAUGCUUCGUGAAUAGUACUCGUGAAUAGUAACUCGUGAAUAGUAACUCAUGAAUAGUAACUCGUGAAUAGUAACUCAUGAAUAGUAACCCCGACAUGAAAAGGUUCCAAAUUUGAUACAAAGUUCCAACCAAUAUUUCGGUAUAAUGAUAUUGAAGAAAUAAUAUCAUUUUUUUUAAAAAAAAAUAAUAUCCCUUACCACGUAAAAACAGUACUUCUGACUGGAAUACAGGAUAUAGUGCUGAAAGAACUUGCACCGUAUAGCAAUACUCAAAGUACUAAAAUACUCACAAAAUACGUUCGAUAUUAUAGAGAGAGAAAGAGAGAUAAAACUUUAGUUUCUGUUGUAAUUUUCAAUUCUAACCUAAGCACCCUAUUUAUAGGAAAUUGCUUAGAACACCAAAGCAGAAAAUUUAAUAUAAUAAUAUUAUAUAUAAACAAAUUUCCUACGCCCACUUCUUGAAUCUGAAUUAAGCAACUACAUCACAUGCAAG